CCACUACUGUGGCAGCAGCUAUUUUUGCGCCCCCAAAAAAGCAGCACUUAGGAGUUGCUGCCCCCAGCAAAGUUAUGCUACUUCGGUGCUUGAUAAGCACCCAUCAGUGAGAGCCCAGCCAGACCCUGCAUCUGAGACCAGCUCUGCCAGUAGAGUCCACCUCAUGGAACCACUCUCAAGCCUCUUUUGCUGGAUGAUGGUAACACAUGCCCAGGGCCAGCAUUAGAGGCCUCCUCAAAGAGUGCCAACGAGAAAACACAGCCAGCUUAUUCAAGAGAGGGCUUGGGAGCAGAACAGAUAGUCCCCAAGCGCGCACAUUAACCAUCUAGGAGUGCAGUCUAGACUGCCCUGCUGCAAGAGGCUUUAAAACAUGAGCAGCCAGCUGUAACGGCGCCCUUCUGCCUCCAGAAGUCUGCACCGCUUUCAUUGCCGGCUGCUAUCGGGAAACCCACACGAGCUGCGGCAAGCAUACUGCCCGUGGCAGAUCACAGCAAGUUUCUAUUCAGAACUUGCCUCCUUCAAGCAAUUAAUUGCCAGAGGAGUCACGAGGAGCAUGGCAAUGUUGCAUCUCUGGGGCUCUGCGCACCAGCCUGGACAGACACAACCUGCACGUGGCACGGGCAGUUCCACGGCAAGCACCCUUGGCAAGGGCUGCAGAAGUAGCACAGGGUUAAAAGCUCGUUCUGGGAGAGCUCAGGCCACCGCUGCACUUUGAUCCCGUCUGUAUUUGCAGGUCUCUGACUCCUGGAAGGGCCCCAGUAGACUGGCGUCCUGGCCAAAUUCCAGCUGGGUUGAUUAGGCUCUGCUCAUGUGAGAUCCUUUUCCCCUCCCCUGUCCCAAUGGAUUUGCUUUCACCCCUAACCCUGCUCUCUUUUGCUAACCAUUUUAUAAGGGGCCAGAACAGCUAAGGAAGCUGCUCAAGAACGACAUAACCAGCACAGUGACUCCUGCAUGGCCUGUUACAUCCCAUCCGCGAGCCCUUCAGCAUCAUCACUCUUGUUUUUAAAGAAGCCGCAGGAAGGAUGCAUUUAUCCGCUGUUGCUGCGAGCCAUUAAGCGGCUGCUAGGUUCCACCCCAGAAGUGGCUGCAUUUUAGUGAGGGGUUGGAAAGUGCAGAAAGGCUGCUGCCAGCCUGAAAUGAGACAAGAAACACAAGUGGGAUCAGGGAGGACAACCAGGAUUCUGGAGAAGAGGCUUCAGCAGCAACCUGUGCCCAUGCGGUGACCCCCACCCCCAAUCUCACACCCGGGGACUUUGACUCCUAGCUCAGCAGCAAGUCAGCAUCCUGCACAAGCACCGUCUUGCAGACACCCUGGCGUUAAUCUUUAAUUUUUAUGGGGGAAAAGGUACCUAAUAGAAGCCCAGAAAGCCAAGAGGAGCUAAUCAGUUCCAGGGUUUGAAAUAGGACAGCGCUGACAGCCUUGAUGAUGAUACUCGUUAAGCACUAAGCACUGGAAGUACUCAAGGAGCACUUGUUACCUUACAUUGGGAUAAGCACAGAGCAGGUUCUCAGUCCCACAGCUGGGCACUUCAAUGGGACACACUGCGCUGGCAUCACCGACUUUGUGAGGCCUAAUGACCAAGAUCACCAAGCGUCUGGUGCAGCAAUUCUCAACCAGAGCCCGGUGGCACCCUGGGGUGUCUGGAGAUCCUUUAAAGGGUGCCAUGAAUGCCCUGCAUGGUUAGCACUGUUAAGUGUGCAACCACGAUCCCCAAAAUAAAGCAAUUACUUCAAAAAUGAA